AUACGGAGGGUGCGAGCGUUAAUCGGAAUUACUGGGCGUAAAGGGCACGUAGGCGGCUUAAUAAGUCAGAUGUGAAAGCCCUGGGCUUAACCUGGGAACUGCAUUUGAAACGGUUAGGCUAGAGUUUGAUAGAGGGGAGUGGAAUUUCCGGUGUAGCGGUGAAAUGCGUAGAGAUCGGAAGGAACACCAGUGGCGAAGGCGACUCCCUGGAUUAAAACUGACGCUGAGGUGCGAAAGCGUGGGUAGCAAACAGGAUUAGAAACCCGGGUAGUCC
rnacentral:rRNA from 1 species